CCCUCUCUUGUUCUGGGAGGGUUUGCAUUUGUGUAUGAAGCUCAAGAUGUGGGGAGUGGCAGAGAGUAUGCAUUAAAGAGGCUAUUAUCCAAUGAAGAGGAAAAGAACAGAGCCAUCAUUCAAGAAGUUUGCUUCAUGAAAAAGCUUUCCGGCCACCCGAACAUUGUCCAGUUUUGUUCUGCAGCGUCUAUAGGAAAAGAGGAGUCA
rnacentral:lncRNA from 1 species